GACGAACGCUGGCGGCGUGCUUAACACAUGCAAGUCGAACGCUGAAGCUUGGUGCUUGCGCUGGGUGGAUGAGUGGCGAACGGGUGAGUAAUACGUGAGUAACCUGCCCUUGACUCUGGUAUAAGCCUGGGAAACUGGGUCUAAUACUGGAUACGACAUUUCACCGCAGUGUGGUGUGUGGAAAGGGUUUUACUGGUUUUGGAUGGGCUCACGGCCUAUCAGCUUGUUGGUGGGGUAAUGGCUCACCAAGGCGACGACGGGUAGCCGGCCUGAGAGGGUGACCGGCCACACUGGGACUGAGACACGGCCCAGACUCCUACGGGAGGCAGCAGUGGGGAAUAUUGCACAAUGGGCGGAAGCCUGAUGCAGCGACGCCGCGUGAGGGAUGACGGCCUUCGGGUUGUAAACCUCUUUCAGCUGGGAGGAAGCGAAAGUGACGGUACGUGCAGAAGAAGCGCCGGCUAACUACGUG
rnacentral:rRNA from 1 species